rnacentral:rRNA from 1 species
GACGAACGCUGGCGGCAUGCCUAACACAUGCAAGUCGAACGAAGCCUUCGGGCUUAGUGGCGCACGGGUGCGUAACACGUGGGAAUCUGCCCUUCGGUUCGGAAUAACAGUUAGAAAUGACUGCUAAUACCGGAUGAUGACGUAAGUCCAAAGAUUUAUCGCCGAAGGAUGAGCCCGCGUAGGAUUAGGUAGUUGGUAGGGUAAUGGCCUACCAAGCCGACGAUCCUUAGCUGGUCUGAGAGGAUGAUCAGCCACACUGGGACUGAGACACGGCCCAGACUCCUACGGGAGGCAGCAGUGGGGAAUAUUGGACAAUGGGCGAAAGCCUGAUCCAGCAAUGCCGCGUGAGUGAUGAAGGCCUUAGGGUUGUAAAGCUCUUUUACCAGGGAUGAUAAUGACAGUACCUGGAGAAUAAGCUCCGGCUAACUCCGUGCCAGCAGCCGCGGUAAU